rnacentral:rRNA from 1 species
CCUACGGGAGGCAGCAGUGAGGAAUAUUGGUCAAUGGACGAGAGUCUGAACCAGCCAAGUAGCGUGAAGGAUGACUGCCCUAUGGGUUGUAAACUUCUUUUAUAUGGGAAUAAAACGUUCCACGUGUGGGAUUUUGUAUGUACCAUAUGAAUAAGGAUCGGCUAACUCCGUGCCAGCAGCCGCGGUAAUACGGAGGAGCCGAGCGUUAUCCGGAUUUAUUGGGUUUAAGGGGAGCGUAGGUGGAUUGUUAAGUCAGUUGUGAAAGUUUGCGGCUCAACCGUAAAAUUGCAGUUGAAACUGGCAGUCUUGAGUACAGUAGAGGUGGGCGGAAUUCGUGGUGUAGCGGUGAAAUGCAUAGAUAUCACGAAGAACUCCGAUUGCGAAGGCAGUUCACUGGACUGCAACUGACACUGAGGCUCGAAAGUGUGGGUAUCAAACAGGAUUAGAUACCCUUGUAGUC